rnacentral:lncRNA from 1 species
CCCCAACCCAAGCAGAGACUAGAGCCCUUUGUAUGUGCGGAGCGGCCAUGGCCGGUAACGGGAGCCCAGUGCCGAGCCUGGAAGAUACGCUCUCCUCCUGCCCCGUGUGCCUGGAAUAUUUCAUAGAUGCCAGCUGCGGGCACAACAUCUGCCCGCGGGCCUGCAACUCAGACCCCCUGGAGGAGCCGGAGUGGAGCCCUUCCUGUCCUAGAUGCCAGAAGCCCGUCCUGCAUGUUUCAUGUGCCACAUACUGGGAUAUGUCACAAGAGCGGCUGGCCUGUCUGAUAAAAGAGAGAGAAGAAACCAAAGCUGAUGAGGAGAUGCAAAGUGAGAAGCUGCUGAAACAGACGGAAGCCGAGAAACAGAGGAUCCUCUGCGAAUGGAAGGAUCUAUGUGGGUUUCUGGAGAAGCAGGAGCAGCUGCUGCUGUCCCAGCUGGAAAAGCUGGACAGAGCCAUUGUCAAGAGAAGGGACGAGAGCAUCUCUGAGCUGUCCCAGGAGAUUUCUCUGCUCAGUGAACUGUUCAAUCAGAGGGGAGGAGAGAACAGGCAGGAGCCACUGAGCCAAUCCGUACAGGGUGUGGGCAGCUCUGAGAGCAGGGAGGACAGAACGCUGCAGAAGCCAGAGUCUGGGUUUGUGAAGCUGGAGAAGAGACUUGAGGAUUUCUCUCAGAGAAGUGCCAUCCUGCUGGAGCUGCUGCAGGGAUUCAAAGGUAAAUGGGAGUCU